UUAUGGUUUUGAUAAUUUAUUUAAAGUUUAUUUUACAUAUAAAUUUUAGUAUUAAUUUUACUUUAUUUUAAUAAUAAUUUAAUUAAUUUGUAGUAAUUAAUAUUAAACAAUUUAAGUAAUUAAGAUUUAGUAAUAUUUAAUAUUAAUAACAAAUUUUGUGCCAGCAGUUGCGGUUAAACAAAAGUUAAAUUUAAAUUUUAUUAGUUAUUAAUAAAUAAUUAAAUUUAAAAUAAAUAAUUUAUUUAUUUUUUAAUAUAAAUAAUAUAAAUUUUAAAUUAUUAAGUGAAAUUUUAAUUUAAUUAAAUAUUAUUUUUAAUUUAUGAUUUAAAAAAUUUUAUAAAAAACUAGGAUUAGAUACCCUAUUAUUAAAAUUUAAAUUAGUAAUACUAAAAUAGUAAGUAAUUAUUUAUUGAAACUUAAAUAAUUUGGCGGUAUUUUAGUUCAUUUAGAGGAAUCUGUUUAAUAAUUGAUAAUCCACGAAUAAAUUUACUUAAUUUUUUAUUUUGUAUAUCGUUGUUAAAAAAAUAUUUUUUAAUAAUAAUAAUAUUUAAAAAUUUUAAUUAAAAAUUAAAUCAGAUCAAGAUGCAGAUUAUAAUUAAGAAUAUAAUGGAUUACAAUAAAUUUAUUUAUAUGAAUAUUAAUUUGUAAAAUUUAAUUGAAGGUGGAUUUAAAUGUAAUUUUAUUUAGUUUAAUAAAAUGAUUGAAAAUUAAGAUAUGUACAUAUUGCCCGUCGCUUUCAUAUGAAUAAAAGUUGGAAUAAGUCGUAACAAAGUAGAGGUACUGGAAAGUGUUUCUAGAAAGAA
rnacentral:ncRNA from 1 species